GACGAACGCUGGCGGCGUGCUUAACACAUGCAAGUCGAACGGAAAGGCCCUUCUUUUGUGGGGUGCUCGAGUGGCGAACGGGUGAGUAACACGUGAGUAACCUGCCCUUGACUUUGGGAUAACUUCAGGAAACUGGGGCUAAUACCGGAUAGGAGCUCCUGCUGCAUGGUGGGGGUUGGAAAGUUUCGGCGGUUGGGGAUGGACUCGCGGCUUAUCAGCUUGUUGGUGGGGUAGUGGCUUACCAAGGCUUUGACGGGUAGCCGGCCUGAGAGGGUGACCGGCCACAUUGGGGCUGAGAUACGGCCCAGACUCCUACGGGAGGCAGCAGUGGGGAAUAUUGCACAAUGGGCGGAAGCCUGAUGCAGCAACGCCGCGUGCGGGAUGACGGCCUUCGGGUUGUAAACCGCUUUCGCCUGUGACGAAGCGUGAGUGACGGUAAUGGGUAAAGAAGCACCGGCUAACUACGUG
rnacentral:rRNA from 1 species